UGGGGAAUUUUGCACAAUGGGGGAAACCCUGAUGCAGCGACGCCGCGUGAUUUAGAAGGCCUUCGGGUUGUAAAAAUCUUUUCUAUGGGAAGAAAAUGACAGUACCAUAGGAAUAAGGACCGGCUAAUUACGUGCCAGCAGCCGCGGUAAUACGUAAGGUCCGAGCGUUGUCCGGAAUCAUUGGGCGUAAAGGGUACGUAGGCGGGUAAGCAAGUUAGAAGUGAAAUCCUAUAGCUCAACUAUAGUAAGCUUUUAAAACUGCUCAUCUUGAGGUAUGGAAGGGAAAGUGGAAUUCCUAGUGUAGCGGUGAAAUGCGCAGACAUUAGGAGGAAUACCGGUGGCGAAGGCGACUUUCUGGCCAUAACCUGACGCUGAGGUACGAAAGCGUGGGUAGCAAACAGG
rnacentral:rRNA from 1 species